rnacentral:tmRNA from 1 species
GGGGCUGAAUUUUAAGCUCGACGUUGGUACAUUACGGUCACGGAUGCAGGUCGCUUGCUGAGCGUUAUACGGCAACCUUGAAUAGAUGCAAAAUCUUUCAAACAAGCAGUAGCUAGCGUCAAAGCUGGUUUCCAGAGCGUUGCUCUGAGCCUCUUUGGUACACCCGCUACCGCUAACCUCGUAGCUUAAUCACUACGAAAUGCCCUUGACGAUGCCAGAUAGCCAAGAUCGCAUUUUAUAUUUCUGGACGCUCGUGCAGUACUAUCCAGCCUGCGCGCUAAGACCAGGAUUGCUCGCAUGAGAUGUUUGUUUGUCUCGAUACUCAUGCGCUAAGACCAUAAGACAAACUACGCCUGUAGUACCCCAGCCCAAAAACCGACGGACGCGGGGGCGGUACCCGCCAGCUCCACCA